rnacentral:rRNA from 1 species
CCUACGGGAGGCAGCAGUGAGGAAUAUUGGUCAAUGGACGAGAGUCUGAACCAGCCAAGUAGCGUGAAGGAUGACUGCCCUAUGGGUUGUAAACUUCUUUUAUAUGGGAAUAACAUGUUCCACGUGUGGGAUUUUGUAUGUACCAUAUGAAUAAGGAUCGGCUAACUCCGUGCCAGCAGCCGCGGUAAUACGGAGGAUCCGAGCGUUAUCCGGAUUUAUUGGGUUUAAAGGGAGCGUAGGUGGAUUGUUAAGUCAGUUGUGAAAGUUUGCGGCUCAACCGUAAAAUUGCAGUUGAAACUGGCAGGCUUGAGUACAGUAGAGGUGGGCGGAAUUCGUGGUGUAGCGGUGAAAUGCUUAGAUAUCACGAAGAACUCCGAUUGCGAAGGCAGCUCACUGGACUGCAACUGACACUGAGGCUCGAAAGUGUGGGUAUCAAACAGGAUUAGAUACCCCAGUAGUC